GAUGAACGCUGGCGGCGUGCCUAAUACAUGCAAGUCGUGCGGAAAGGCCACUUCGGUGGUACUCGAGCGGCGGACGGCAGAGUAACGCGUAGGAACAUACCCCCAAACUGAGGGAUAACUGCUCGAAAGAGUAGCUAAUACCGCAUGUGAUCUUCGGAUUAAAGCUUCGGCGGUUUGGGAAUGGCCUGCGUCCGAUUAGCUUGUUGGUGAGGUAAUAGCUCACCAAGGCGACGAUCGGUAGCUGGUCUGAGAGGAUGAUCAGCCUGACUGGAACUGAGAACGGUCCAGACUCCUACGGGAGGCAGCAGUAGGGAAUUUUCCACAAUGGGCGAAAGCCUGAUGGAGCAACGCCGCGUGCAGGAUGAAUGCCUUCGGGUUGUAAACUGCUUUUAUUAGUGAAGAAUAUGACGGUAACUAAUGAAUAAGGGUCGGCUAACUACGUGCCAGCAGCCGCGGUAAU
rnacentral:rRNA from 1 species